AUACUUUACUAAUCAAUUAGCAGAAGCUAUAUGUGUCAUGUUCACUGAUGAACUAUGAACAUAAACGCGCACGAAAUAAGCGGUUCGGACCCGGGGGCGGUACCCGGCGGCUCCACCAUGUUACUUGACAUUGGGAAGUAUGUGGGGCCGAAACAGGAUCGACGAACGUGUAAAGGUGUUAGCUUUGUUCCGGCGGGGUACCACCGUUAUCGGUCUAUUAAGCAUAAUUGCCAAUGACAAUCAUGCUCCGGUUGCACUUGCCGCGUAAGCAGCAAAAAUACCGAAAUUUUAGUCCUUAUCGCCUAGCAGCGUAAGGCGGGGUUGGCCGGAGCCUGGCAACAGAAUCCGGCACA
rnacentral:tmRNA from 1 species